rnacentral:rRNA from 1 species
GCACUCUAUUUGAUUUUCUUCGGAAAUGAAGAUUUUGUGACUGAGUGGCGGACGGGUGAGUAACGCGUGGGUAACCUGCCUCAUACAGGGGGAUAACAGUUGGAAACGACUGCUAAUACCGCAUAAGCGCACAGGAUCGCAUGAUCCGGUGUGAAAAACUCUGGUGGUAUGAGAUGGACCCGCGUCUGAUUAGCCAGUUGGCAGGGUAACGGCCUACCAAAGCGACGAUCAGUAGCCGACCUGAGAGGGUGACCGGCCACAUUGGGACUGAGACACGGCCCAAACUCCUACGGGAGGCAGCAGUGGGGAAUAUUGCACAAUGGGGGAAACCCUGAUGCAGCGACGCCGCGUGAGCGAAGAAGUAUUUCGGUAUGUAAAGCUCUAUCAGCAGGGAAGAAGAAUGACGGUACCUGACUAAGAAGCACCGGCUAAAUACGUGCCAGCAGCCGCGGUAAUACGUAUGGUGCAAGCGUUAUCCGGAUUUACUGGGUGUAAAGGGAGCGCAGGCGGUGCGGCAAGUCUGAUGUGAAAGCCCGGGGCUCAACCCCGGUACUGCAUUGGAAACUGUCGUACUAGAGUGUCGGAGGGGUAAGUGGAAUUCCUAGUGUAGCGGUGAAAUGCGUAGAUAUUAGGAGGAACACCAGUGGCGAAGGCGGCUUACUGG